rnacentral:rRNA from 1 species
UGGGGAAUAUUGGACAAUGGGCGCAAGCCUGAUCCAGCCAUGCCGCGUGAGUGAUGUAUGCCCUAGGGUUGUAAAGCUCUUUCACCGGUGAAGAUAAUGACGGUAACCGGAGAAGAAGCCCCGGCUAACUUCGUGCCAGCAGCCGCGGUACUACGAAGGGGGCUAGCGUUGUUCGGAUUUACUGGGCGUAAAGCGCACGUAGGCGGACUAUUAAGUCAGGGGUGAAAUCCCGGGGCUCAACCCCGGAACUGCCUUUGAUACUGGUAGUAUUGAGUUCGAGAGAGGGGAGUGGAAUUCCGAGUGUAGAGGUGAAAUUCGUAGAUAUUCGGAGGAACACCAGUGGCGAAGGCGGCUCACUGGCUCGAUACUGACGCUGAGGUGCGAAAGCGUGGGGAGCAAACAGG